AGAGUUUGAUCCUGGCUCAGGACGAACGCUGGCGGCGUUAACACAUGCAAGUCGAGCGGAAAGGCCCUUCGGGGUACUCGAGCGGCGAACGGGUGAGUAACACGUGAGUAACCUGCCCUGGACUUUGGGAUAACCCUCGGAAACGGGGGCUAAUACCGAAUACGACCAUUCACUGCAUGGUGUGAUGGUGGAAAGUUUUUCGGUCUGGGAUGGACUCGCGGCCUAUCAGCUUGUUGGUGGGGUAAUGGCCUACCAAGGCGACGACGGGUAGCCGGCCUGAGAGGGCGACCGGCCACACUGGGACUGAGACACGGCCCAGACUCCUACGGGAGGCAGCAGUGGGGAAUAUUGCACAAUGGGCGGAAGCCUGAUGCAGCGACGCCGCGUGAGGGAUGACGGCCUUCGGGUUGUAAACCUCUUUCAGCAGGGACGAAGCGCAAGUGACGGUACCUGCAGAAGAAGCGCCGGCCAACUACGUGCCAGCAGCCGCGGUAAGACGUAGGGCGCGAGCGUUGUCCGGAUUUAUUGGGCGUAAAGAGCUCGUAGGCGGCUUGUCGCGUCGAAUGUGAAAUCUCAGGGCUCAACUCUGACAUUGCAUUCGAUACGGGCAGGCUAGAGUUCGGUAGGGGAGACUGGAAUUCCUGGUGUAGCGGUGAAAUGCGCAGAUAUCAGGAGGAACACCGGUGGCGAAGGCGGGUCUCUGGGCCGAUACUGACGCUGAGGAGCGAAAGCGUGGGGAGCGAACAGGAUUAGAUACCCUAGUAGUCC
rnacentral:rRNA from 1 species